rnacentral:lncRNA from 1 species
UGCCGUUCGCCGUCGCCCUCUCCACCUUCGGCGGCGUCAACGGUUCCCUCUUCACCUGCUCCAGGUAAAACCCAAAAUCCCCCAAAAAUCCCCAAAAUCCCCAAAAUUCCCCAAAAUCCCCCAAAAUCCCCAAAAUCCCCAAAAUCCCCAAUUUUUUACCAUUUUUUUCUGAUUUUUUCCCCAUUUUUUCCCCAUUUUUUCCACUUUUUCCCCAUUUUCCCCAUUUUUUCCCCAUUUUUUCCAAUUUUUUCCCCAUUUCUUCCCAUUUUUUUCGCAUUUUUUUCCCAAUUUUCCCCAAUUUUUCCCCAAUUUUUUCCCAUUUUUUCCGAUUUUUUCCCCAUUUUUUUCCCAUUUUUCCCCAUUUUUUCCCAUUUUUUCCAAUUUUUCCCCGAUUUUUUCCCAUUUUUUUCUGAUUUUUCCCCAUUUUUUCCCCAAUUUUUUUCCCCAAUUUUUUCCCCAAUUUUUUUCCCAUUUUUUCCCCAUUUUUUCCCAUUUUUUCCCCAAUUUUUCCUCACUUUUUUCCCGCAAUUUUUUCCCAUUUUUUCCAAUUUUUUUGUCAUUUUUAUUCCAAUUUUUUCCCCUCCCCCAUUCCCUCUUCACCUGCUCCAGGUAAAAUCCAAAAAUCCCCAAAAUCCCCAAAAUUCCCAAAUUUGUCACAUUUUUUCCCCAUUUUUUAUGAUUUUUCCCCAUUUUUUCCAUUUUUUCCCCAUUUUUCCCCAUUUUUCCCCAUUUUUUCCCCAAUUUUUACCCCAAUUUUUUCUGAUUUUUCCCCAAUUUUUCCCCCAUUUUUUCCCAUUUUUUCCCAUUUUUUCCCUAUUUCCACAAAAUCCCCCAAGAUCCCCCCAAAAAUCCCAAAAUUCCCCAAUUUUCCCCCCAAAGUCCCAAAAUCUCUCAAUUUUACCCCAAAAUUCCCCAAUUUUACCCCCAAAUUCCCCCAAAAUUCCCAAAAUUCCCCCCAAAAACCCCAAAAACUCUCAAUUUUCCCCCAAAUUGCCCCCAAAAUCCCAAAAUCCCUCAAAAUUCCCCGAAAUUCCCCCUAAAAUCCCAAUUUCCCCCCCAAAAUCUCAAAAUCUCUCCAUUUUACCCCAAAAUUCCCCAGUUUUCCCCCAAAAUUACCCCAAAAUUCCCCCAAAAUUCCCAAUUUUACCCCCAAAUUCCCCAAUUUUACCCCAAAAUUCCCCAAUUUUACCCCAAAAUUCCCCCUAA